rnacentral:snRNA from 1 species
UUUCCUAAGGGGAAAAACUGACCUGUAUAGAAGUUCAAACAGAGAAGCAAGGAGCCUGCGGUGCAGACACUGGGUUGCCCGGAGUCCCAAGAGCAUGCAGCCUAAGAGCUUGCAGGCUUUUCUUUCUUUCUUUAGCAUGGCCCCUGCGCAAGGAUGACACGCAAAUUCGUGAAGCGUUCCAUAUUUUU